CUCCAGUGUCACACUAAGCAAGAGAGAAAUGGUGUGUGAGGGGCUGAUGGUGAAGGUGGAAUCCUCAUUUUACAGUCUUUAAACAACUUGAGGGGGAAUCACUCAACUGGUAUGUGGCCUAGCCAGAAUUUGAAGGUGAGAAAUAUGGAAUCAGAUGGAAGGGGACAAAAGCAAUCAAGUUAGACAGUGGUUGCCUAUUCCUGGGGAAACCAGCUGCCAUAUCAUGGGGACAGUCAAGCAGCCUUCGGAGAGGCAGCACAGGAGGAACUAAGGCUCUCUGCCAAUAACCAGCACCAACAUGCCUGCCAUGCGAGUGAGCCAUCUGGAAAACAGAUCCACCAGCUUCAGUCAAGCCUGCAGUGAGUGGACGUGCCCUAUAGCAAACUUGGGAAAAAAAAAAAGAAGAACAUCAUUCAGAGAACAUAAAAGAAGGCUCUUGAAAAUUAAAAAUAUGGUAUUUAAAAUGAAAAAUUCAGAAGAAGAGUUGGCAAAUAAAAGUGAGAAAAAAUAAAAAAAGAAAGAAAGAAACCUCCUGGAUAGCAAAACAAAUGACAAAGAUAUAAAAGGGGUGGUUUGAAGGCAGAAGAGGAACAACGAAGGUUUGGAGUGGACCGCCACACUUCAGGUGCAUGCAUGAGGACACCUGGGUUUGAACAGCAAGGGCUGAGAGGCACUAACUCCUGGUACCUGUAAACUGCAGACAGCACCUUGAGGAAGCAACAAAGCACAUGAAGGGAUUUCCAUGUUCUCCUGGGCAACUGGCUCUGUCUAUUCCACAAGCCAGGGUGAUGGGAAUGAAAGAAUAAAAGAAAACAU